rnacentral:rRNA from 1 species
UUUUGUUUUUAUAUUAUUUUUUGUAAAAUGUUUUAAUUUUUUUAUUUUUUUAAAUAGACAUUGAAAAUUUGGUUUUUGAACUGGAUUAGUACCCAGGUAAUCAAAAUUAAUUAAUUCGGGAGUAAAGUUUUAUUUAAACCGAAAAAAUAUUGACUGACUUUGGAUUUUUCUUUGGAACAUGCGUAUGGAGAGCCCUCUUUUUUGGUAAAUUUUGUUGGCACAUGUAUGAUUGUUUAGUUUUUAUUUUAUUUGUAAUGCUUUUUUUGUUUUGACAUUAAAAACAGAUAUAUAUUUGGCUUAUAAAUUUAUUAUCGUGUGUUACUAUUUUUAAUUUUUUUUGGAUUAUUUUUUAAUUUUUUUUUGAAAUUGGAAAAGAAAGUAAUUAUUUUUUUAUAUAUAAAUGAAUUUAAUAAACAAGGUGGUACAAACCA